rnacentral:rRNA from 1 species
CCCUUAGAUGUUCUGGGCCGCACGCGCGCUACACUGAUGCAUUCAACGAGCCUAUCCUUGACCGACAGGUCCGGGUAAUCUUUGAAUCUGCAUCGUGACGGGGAUAGAUUAUUGCAAUUAUUAAUCUUCAACGAGGAAUGCCUAGUAGGCGCAAGUCAUCAGCUUGCGUCGAUUACGUCCCUGCCCUUUGUACACACCGCCCGUCGCUCCUACCGAUUGGGUGUGCUGGUGAAAUGUUCGGAUCGGCCGUUUGUCGCGGCUUCCGCGGCUCGUGGCUGAGAAGUUCAUUAAACCCUCCCACCUAGAGGAAGGAGAAGUCGUAACA